rnacentral:rRNA from 1 species
GGUUAAGCGACUAAGCGUACACGGUGGAUGCCCUGGCAGUCAGAGGCGAUGAAGGACGUGCUAAUCUGCGAAAAGCGUCGGUAAGGUGAUAUGAACCGUUAUAACCGGCGAUGUCCGAAUGGGGAAACCCAGUGCAAUUCGUUGCACUAUCGUUAACUGAAUACAUAGGUUAACGAGGCGAACCGGGGGAACUGAAACAUCUAAGUACCCCGAGGAAAAGAAAUCAACCGAGAUUCCCCCAGUAGCGGCGAGCGAACGGGGAGCAGCCCAGAGUCUGAAUCAGCUUGUGUGUUAGUGGAACGGUCUGGAAAGUCCGACGGUACAGGGUGAUAGUCCCGUACACCAAAAUGCACAGGCUGUGAACUCGAAGAGUAGGGCGGGACACGUGGUAUCCUGUCUGAAUAUGGGGGGACCAUCCUCCAAGGCUAAAUACUCCUGACUGACCGAUAGUGAACCAGUACCGUGAGGGAAAGGCGAAAAGAACCCCGGCGAGGGGAGUGAAAAAGAACCUGAAACCGUGUACGUACAAGCAGUGGGAGCACCUUCGGGUGUGACUGCGUACCUUUUGUAUAAUGGGUCAGCGACUUAUAUUCUGUAGCAAGGUUAACCGUAUAGGGGAGCCGCAGGGAAACCGAGUCUUAACUGGGCGUUAAGUUGCAGGGUAUAGACCCGAAACCCGGUGAUCUAGCCAUGGGCAGGUUGAAGGUUGGGUAACACUAACUGGAGGACCGAACCGACUAAUGUUGAAAAAUUAGCGGAUGACUUGUGGCUGGGGGUGAAAGGCCAAUCAAACCGGGAGAUAGCUGGUUCUCCCCGAAAGCUAUUUAGGUAGCGCCUCGUGAACUCAUCUUCGGGGGUAGAGCACUGUUUCGGCUAGGGGGUCAUCCCGACUUACCAACCCGAUGCAAACUACGAAUACCGAAGAAUGUUAUCACGGGAGACACACGGCGGGUGCUAACGUCCGUCGUGAAGAGGGAAACAACCCAGACCGCCAGCUAAGGUCCCAAAGUCAUGGUUAAGUGGGAAACGAUGUGGGAAGGCACAGACAGCCAGGAUGUUGGCUUAGAAGCAGCCAUCAUUUAAAGAAAGCGUAAUAGCUCACUGGUCGAGUCGGCCUGCGCGGAAGAUGUAACGGGGCUAAACCAUGCACCGAAGCUGCGGCAGCGACACUAUGUGUUGUUGGGUAGGGGAGCGUUCUGUAAGCCUGCGAAGGUGUGCUGUGAGGCAUGCUGGAGGUAUCAGAAGUGCGAAUGCUGACAUAAGUAACGAUAAAGCGGGUGAAAAGCCCGCUCGCCGGAAGACCAAGGGUUCCUGUCCAACGUUAAUCGGGGCAGGGUGAGUCGACCCCUAAGGCGAGGCCGAAAGGCGUAGUCGAUGGGAAACAGGUUAAUAUUCCUGUACUUGGUGUUACUGCGAAGGGGGGACGGAGAAGGCUAUGUUAGCCGGGCGACGGUUGUCCCGGUUUAAGCAUGUAGGCUGGUUGUCCAGGCAAAUCCGGAUAAUCAAGGCUGAGGUGUGAUGACGAGGCACUACGGUGCUGAAGUAACAAAUGCCCUGCUUCCAGGAAAAGCCUCUAAGCAUCAGGUAACAUCAAAUCGUACCCCAAACCGACACAGGUGGUCAGGUAGAGAAUACCAAGGCGCUUGAGAGAACUCGGGUGAAGGAACUAGGCAAAAUGGUGCCGUAACUUCGGGAGAAGGCACGCUGGUGUGUAGGUGAAGCCCCUGCGGGUGGAGCUGAGACCAGUCGAAGAUACCAGCUGGCUGCAACUGUUUAUUAAAAACACAGCACUGUGCAAACACGAAAGUGGACGUAUACGGUGUGACGCCUGCCCGGUGCCGGAAGGUUAAUUGAUGGGGUUAUCCGUAAGGAGAAGCUCUUGAUCGAAGCCCCGGUAAACGGCGGCCGUAACUAUAACGGUCCUAAGGUAGCGAAAUUCCUUGUCGGGUAAGUUCCGACCUGCACGAAUGGCGUAAUGAUGGCCAGGCUGUCUCCACCCGAGACUCAGUGAAAUUGAACUCGCUGUGAAGAUGCAGUGUACCCGCGGCAAGACGGAAAGACCCCGUGAACCUUUACUAUAGCUUGACACUGAACAUUGAGCCUUGAUGUGUAGGAUAGGUGGGAGGCUUUGAAGCGUGGACGCCAGUCUGCGUGGAGCCAACCUUGAAAUACCACCCUUUAAUGUUUGAUGUUCUAACGUUGGCCCCUGACCGGGGUUGCGGACAGUGUCUGGUGGGUAGUUUGACUGGGGCGGUCUCCUCCCAAAGCGUAACGGAGGAGCACGAAGGUUAGCUAAUCCUGGUCGGACAUCAGGAGGUUAGUGCAAUGGCAUAAGCUAGCUUGACUGCGAGCGUGACGGCGCGAGCAGGUGCGAAAGCAGGUCAUAGUGAUCCGGUGGUUCUGAAUGGAAGGGCCAUCGCUCAACGGAUAAAAGGUACUCCGGGGAUAACAGGCUGAUACCGCCCAAGAGUUCAUAUCGACGGCGGUGUUUGGCACCUCGAUGUCGGCUCAUCACAUCCUGGGGCUGAAGUAGGUCCCAAGGGUAUGGCUGUUCGCCAUUUAAAGUGGUACGCGAGCUGGGUUUAGAACGUCGUGAGACAGUUCGGUCCCUAUCUGCCGUGGGCGCUGGAGAAUUGAGGGGGGCUGCUCCUAGUACGAGAGGACCGGAGUGGACGCAUCACUGGUGUUCGGGUUGUCAUGCCAAUGGCACUGCCCGGUAGCUAAAUGCGGAAGAGAUAAGUGCUGAAAGCAUCUAAGCACGAAACUUGCCCCGAGAUGAGUUCUCCCUGAGACUUUAAGUCUCCUGAAGGAACGUU